AAUAGGCCAAACAACAGCCGACCGACAAACACACCAGACUCGGGCUCCAUUAGCGACCUUAAACAAUUUCACACAUCUAUUGAUUCAUGAAAUACUGUUUUAUCAUUUAUUGAACUUUAAUACCGUGAUAGGAAAUAGGGUGAGGGGUCCUUACUUGUUUCGGGGUCCGAAUACGACUCUACAGUGCGCCUACAGGCUGUCCAUAAUUUUUCCUGGGG
rnacentral:lncRNA from 1 species